AGAAUCAACGCUGGCGGCGUGCCUCAGACAUGCAAGUCGAACGCGAAAGUCCCCUUCGGGGGCAAGUAGAGUGGCGCACGGGUGAGUAACACGUAGGUAAUCUACCUUUGGAUGGGGAAUAACAAUCGGAAACGAUUGCUAAUACCGCAUAAUGCAGCGGCACCUAAUGGUGACAGUUGUUAAAGCGGGGGAUCGAAAGACCUCGCGUCUAAAGAGGAGCCUGCGGCGGAUUAGCUAGUUGGUAAGGUAAUGGCUUACCAAGGCUACGAUCC
rnacentral:rRNA from 1 species